AUCAGAUGGGAAAUACUCCCUUAUUCGCUCCCUGUGCGAUGUAAUGUUCGACAUCGACGACAUUGGAAGUGAAUCAUCCUCUUCCGCAGACUUGGAUUUCGAUGGCGAGGACAGCCUUGACACAAUCAAUCGGGAAUACUUCGUUGAUGUCGCUGCAUCGCGUCGUUCCUUGAUGGCGGAUCUACAGCUCCGAAUGGCAGCGGAUAAGCCCAUUGCCCCAGCCCAUAUGCAUGGUCACCGCCUCAGCUCACAUGGGUCAGUUCGUCGGGGCGCGAAUGGGAAAAGGAUGCUCAAUAAACGCG
rnacentral:sRNA from 1 species